CCUACGGGAGGCAGCAGUGAGGAAUAUUGGUCAAUGGCCGAGAGGCUGAACCAGCCAAGUCGCGUGAGGGAAGACGGCCCUAUGGGUUGUAAACUUCUUUUGUCGGGGAGUAAAGCGAGUCACGUGUGAGAUAUUGUAAGUACCAGAAGAAAAAGCAUCGGCUAAUUCCGUGCAAGCAGCCGCGGUAAUACGGAGGAUGCGAGCGUUAUCCGGAUUUAUUGGGUUUAAAGGGUGCGUAGGCGGAGGUGCAAGUCAGCGGUAAAAUUGCGGGGCUAAACCUCGUACUGCCGUUGAAACUGGAUGCCUUGAGUGCGCGAGAGGUAUGCGGAAUGCGUGGUGUAGCGGUGAAAUGCUUAGAUAUCACGCAGAACUCCGAUUGCGAAGGCAGCAUACCGGCGCGCAACUGACGCUGAGGCUCGAAAGCGUGGGUAUCGAACAGGAUUAGAUACCCGAGUAGUC
rnacentral:rRNA from 1 species